CUAAUCCUUUGUAUCGACUCAUCUUCUUUCUCACGCUUCAAUAUUCUCUGCAAACCCUAGAAACUAAAGUUGUUCUUCCUGUUCUUCCUGUUGCUUUCUUAAUUCUAUUCAAUCAGAACUCAUUCGUCUAUAACUUCUCCCUCUAAACCCUAUCUGUGCAUACGCAUUUUCUUCAGCAAAGCAACAAUGGUGUCUCAAGUUAGCUUUUUAAGAUUGGUUAUGUAGAUUUGAUGUCGCAAUUUCAUCUGAAAGUAGUGUUUUGAACAUUUUCAACUCCUUCGGCUGCCGUCUCUAAGGAUCAAAACCCUAUUUUCAACUCCUCAUUGAAUAAAAAAAUUCAAGUAUAAUCAUCAUCUUCUUUCAUUCGGAAUGUUCUGCAAAUGCAAGAGGAUUUGAACUUAUACUCUUCCAGUCUAUCGAUAAUUGUUUUUGGUUUCAUUGGAGAGAAAGAAACAAUAACUACUUCAAAUGGCGUCGUGUGCUUCUGCGCCAGUGAUGGAUGAUUGAAAGCUAUGCUUCCUGAUGAUUUGCCAUUGUUCUGCGACAACGUUUGCUCACUUAGAUGCUACAAUUGUGCUUUCUAAACAGGGCUUUAAAUCGAACUUGAGAAGUUCCAGAGUACUUAUGGCAUCCAUGGCUGCUUUAAAAGGGUACAAUAUGGUGACAUACGCUCCUUUGAAAAAAAAACACCCGACACUUCCAUGAUUCAACUGUUUUCAAACACUGCAAACACUAAGGUGCAUUUUGAGCUGAUAGGACGGUACAGCUAGCAGAGGCACUGUAUCUGGCGUUGGACAGUAUCUUAAGUUAAAAAAACAUAAUGUUAACAUUUAUGGGCUCGAUCCCGAAGAAGGCGAUAUACUAAAUGGAGGCAAACCCGACAAUUUAGAUGUGUACGGCAGUGACGAAUGUGGCAAAAUACAUUUCAUCACCUAUUAUUAGUGGCAAAAUUCGUGAGAGGGCACUUUAAAGUUGUAAAAAAAGAAAACAAAUAUUGGACAAGAAAGGAGACGUAAUGAAUUAGCUGUUGACGAAGGGGGUUAAGAACGUGUUAUUAUCGACUUGCUUAGACUUUGAUUGAAGGUAUGGAUCCAAGCAUAGAUGUUUGGAUUAGAGCCCUAAAUCCAACCCGAAUAUAUUGCAGUCUAACGAGAGAUCUGGGCAUUUCAAAUAAGUGAGACAGCCAAGAGUAAGACAACCACAAAUAUCUUCUUUCGUACCUUUUUUAUGAAUUCUUUUUAAUUCCCCGUCACUGGAUGAUAUUGCAUUUAACUUUAUUUGUUUAUUUAAUUUUUGUAACAACGUCAUGAAGGAACCAACUUCGGGCGUACUACAAGUGGCCUGUUUAUUGCUACAAGCUAUGACUAUCAUGCUUCUCCUGAUGAAUAUAGUAUGUGAUAAGCAGAGAAAAUUGCUACCAUUUAAAUGGUACAGCCUAUGUAUAUUGUUCAACCAUUGUUUACAUCAUUUAAAUGGUCCGACCCGCGAAGUUCGCGGGUGAUAUUGUUCAUUCGAUAAUUUUUUUAUAACUCUUCAUCAAUCUGAAGAACAGGUAUGUUUUUAUGAUUUCUUCGUUUUAUCAUACAUUCUAAUAUUUCUUCAUGUUCUUGAUACCAAAGUUGAAAACAAGAUUGUUGCUACUUUCUUGAAACACCCUUUUGGUAAAUUCACCCUUUUGUUCUCUCAUGGUAACGCUGCUGAUUUGGGUCAGAUGCAAGAGCUUUUUAUUGAGCUUAGAGCUCAUCUUAGACUCAAUAUCAUGAGGGAUGAAGAGGUCUGGAGACGAUCAUGUUUCCGAGGGUGAUUUUCAUCUUACGCUGCCGAUUAUCUCUGAAUUGAGUAUAGUCAUGGCUCUAACAACGGGUUGACCAUUGCUAUUGAUUUUUGCGGUUUUGGACUUUAUAUGAAGUAUUUAUUCAAUUCCGGACUUGAUGAUGUUGGAGAACCAAAAGCACAAGUGGUUGCUAAACGAGUCAUAGAAAGAGUUACAGGAACCCCAACUACAAGGAUGAAGACGGUGGCGAGUAAUGUAGUGAAGAAACGAGUCUUUGAAUUGUUUACACCUUUCAAUUGUAUGUAAACAUUUUUUUUUCAUUUAACAAUCCCAUAAAUAAUCGAUUAGAUGGUAAAAAGCUAUUGUUGAGGGCAUAAAUAAUGAACAAAUCUCACGGCAAGUAACAAUUUUGUAAUCAUGUAUACAACAUACUAAAGUAAUUAUUGAUGAUUUAGGGACAA